UUCGUCUCCACCCGGAAGGCGUUGAUGGGCUGAGCUGGAUCUUUGCCGGUUUCCUUAGCAACGGUCUCUGUAGCAGAUGGCCGGCUAGCAAUUUGUUGGACUGUGCAGGAUCUGGGCCACUUUUCCCCAGCUCAUAAGUUCUUACGGCCCAGUUGACCCGGUGAGUAGUUCAGGUUGGAUGACACAGUUGUUGGAACCAACCCGCUAAAGAGAAAACGACGUGCAACCCAGAUUCCCACACUCUCGCCCGUGUGAUUAGUCCUACCUGGAGGUUUGUUUUAGUCAGAAGCAUUUCCCUAACAUCUUGUCAGAUAAAUUCAACCCCCGAGUCAUCUGGAGCCAUCUGUCCCCUACUCCGGGGCCAUACAAUAGCUGAGUAAAGUCAGUAUUCUCUUCAGGAACUGUAGGUUUGUGGCUUCUUUGCGUUUGCAGCUCCUAAAAGAGUGAGCCACACACACCACCACUGUUUUUUGAGUUGGCUUCCCGGGUACACAUGCCUGUCUCCCAGAUGUGGUCUUUGAAGUUGUAUAAAAUUCAGGCCUCUGAUUUGUUAUUUAUUUCUUUAUUUUGCGCUUCGGUGUUCUUUUGUAUGUGUAAAUUAAUUUAGAACAUUUGGUAACAUUACUGGGGAUAAGUCAGCCUUAGAUGUAUUUUUGUUGAUUAUAUAUUUCUUUUGUGAAACACCAAGUUUAUGGUGAGCUCUACAGAUUAAGCUCUUCAUCUUUAUACAUAAGAAAACUGAAUCAGGGAAUAAUGACUUAGUCAAGGUAUGAAAAUUAGUAAAUAACAAGAUUUGAGAACUAUAUUUCAAUCCCAAACCCAGAAUUUGUGGCACUCUACCAUAUGUUUUGAUUUAUUUGAGAAGCCUCUCCACUAAAGUCUUCAUUAGGAGCUUAGGCAACCAAGGCCCUUGAAACUUACAUAGAUUGUAAGGUAACUUAGCUUUUCUUCUAAAGGUGGUGGACCUUGAUAUAUAAUUCUGUACUUAAUAGUGAAAGCAUUUGGGUAAAAGGGCAUAUUACUGUUGUUUCUGUUUUGUUUUGUGAUGCUGGAGAUUGAACGCAGAGCCUUGCUUAUAUUAAGCAAGUGCACUAACACUGAGCUACAAUCCCAGUCUCUCUUUCAGUUUUGUCUUUUAAAACUUUUCUUUUUGUUUAUAAAAACUACAUUCUUUUUGAAGGACAUAUAGAAAAUACAGAUUGACUGAAUUGAGAAUGAGCAGUACAGAAAGUAGCAAGAGAUAGGUCAAAAAGAGAAAGGCUAUAGAAAGGAUUUUGUUUUUUACUCCUGAGUAAAACAAACUAUUCCAGAGUUUUUAUGUGAUUUGCCUUAUGUUUAAAAUGAUCACUCAGAACUGUGAAAAUAAAUUAUAGUGGGGGAUCAAUAAAGAAAGAAGCAGGAAGAUUUGUUUGGAGGUAACUGGAAUAAUGCAUAAAAGUGAUAGUUAGCCAAGAUGGUAAAAGUGACGAUGGUGAGAAAUUGGUCAGAUUCUGGAUAAAUUUUGAAGGCAAAACCAAUAAAAUUUAUUGAUAGAAUGGGUGUGGAGUAUUAGAGAGUGAAUUAAAAAAUGACUGCCUGAGGUUGGAGUGGUCAUCAGUUGAGAUGGAGAAAGUUAAGGAUGGAGAAGCUUGGUUGGGUAGAGAACAUAAUUUGAUUUUGGACAUGUGGAAUAAACAUAUAUGCCUAUGUAGUAGAAGUUUGUUUAUGUCUGUGUGCACCAUACAUGUGAACAUGGAAUUGAGGAGAGACGUUUGCGCUGGAGUUACAGUUUAUGAGUUGGAUUGAGCUCCUAAGGAAAUUAAUAGGUCCUACAUAUUCAGGUACUGUACAUUUUAAUAAGGUGAAGUGAACAAUAAAAGAGUAACCAAAAAAAAUUCAGAGUGUAAAGAACUAUAAUAAUAAUACUUUGUCAGAGUAUAAAUUGAGCAUUUCUUGGCUCUAUGAAGGGUGUCAUAGAAAUAGAAUUAUUUAUUCCAAAUAUGACUACAUUGUUCACAUAAAAUAUGCUGGAAGUGAAUAUGCCACAUUAUGAGCUAUGGUUUUUCUGCUCUUGUGUUUUUUUUUUUUUUAUUUUUAUCACAUUUCAUUAAAUUUUAAGUAAUUUUUUAAAAAAUUCAGUAUACUGAGUGGUAGCAAAUGUCUUUGGCUGUAAUUAUAGUAAGUAAAAAGUUUUAAGUCUAUAUUCAAUAUAAUCACACAGUGUGAUAUAACUGUUUAAGCAGUUAAACUAUCAGAGCAUUAUUAUUUUACCUGAGCAUUUACCACAAAGAAUGAACAAGGUAUUUGCCAGAGUGUUAUUUUACCAGUGUACAUUAUACCAAUCCAGCUAAAUAGUAAGCUUAUUAAUUAUGCCAAAUCAAACACUGGAAACAAUCUUGGUCUUAGAUCCCAUAUUUUAAUAAAGACAUUGAGCAAAUUAGAGUAUAAUCAAUUGAAAAAUAAUGUUCUGUGAAGGCAUUUGUGCCUCUCUUGGAGGAGAUUAUCUGAAGAGUUGCUACAGAGAGUGAGAUACAUAAAAAAAAAAAAAAAAAAAAAAAAAAAAAAACAACAACACAGCUUUCUUAAGUUAUACUUUUAUGCCAUUAAUUUAAUCUGAUUUAAGUGAACAAUUUAAUAUUUUUUUAUUUAUAGCUAAUGCUAGUUAGAUUUUUUAAAAUUACUAUGGGCAUAAAUAUGACUGUUGAAUUGGAGUUUUAGGGAAGCAUAUUUUAAUCCCCCUUUCCUAUUCAUAUGAAGAAGUUGAAACCAAAUGAAGAGGGUCAUGGCUCCUGAGCCAUGGAGUUCAUGGUGCAUGACAUAGACAGGCCAUGGUACAGCUCUGCUUGCUACCAGUACUUUUACUUAUCUAACUAUUGCUUCCUUCUACUUUUCAUGACAUGCAGCAAUAGCAACUCUUUUUAUAGUUAUUUUUACUUGAAUUUGUUUACUCAGCUAUCCUUUUUGAACUUUAUUUCUUAAAUAUUUUUCCCCAAUGAACCCUCUUGAAGGAACUCUCAUUUCCUCUUACCUUGUGAAGAGGAGAAAGAAAAAUUCUUUCAGAGAAGAAUUCUCCACCUUCCUCCUGCUUCCAAACUUCUAUUUUUACUUUCUUCCUUAGUUUUUUUUGUAGACUUCAAAUGAAAUGUCCAGGUAUUAUCCAGAUAUUAUAGUGUGCAUUUAUUAACAUGAGGUUUGGGGUUUCUUUUUUGUUUGUUUUUUUGAUGAGGAGAUAGAAUUAAACUAGUAAAGAAAUAGAUUUCAAUUAGUUUAGUACAAUGUUUAUUGCUUUUAAUAGAAACAUACUAGUGGUCCAACUUUAGGAGAUAAAAAUAUGUUUUAUGAAUGCUAAUCAACUACUUUUGCUUUUGUAGUCUUGCAAGAGUAGAAUAAAAACAAAAUCUUCAGAGAUAAUAAAGUGCUUUUGUUAUAAGUCCAUAGAUUUUGGAGUGAUUUGUUACACUGCAUAAAUAACUGAAAAGUACAUGUUUUUAAAAAUUUUUGCAAGAGAUUGAAUAUUGUUUUUGAGUUCAAAAUAAAGAAUUCAAGGAAUUAACAUAGAUUUCUACCGAAGUGAGAGUUUAUUCUUUGUACUUAGUAGUCUCUCACACAUUCUCACCUGAAAGUUUUCUUUUUCUCUGAGGGAAAGAAAAGAUGGCCAGAUAUAUCCAUGUAUACUAAUAGUAUUGAAGUCUGACUUAGAACUUUAGGUCUUAUAUUAAAAUUUUUUACAUGUUAGCUAAACAGAACAAGUUUCCUGUUCUCAGAGUACAUAUAAUUUAAUGGGAAAGAGGACAUUUAAAUAUCUUAAAUUCGAGAUGUGGGAAUGGAACAGAGAUUUAUAUCAUAUAAAAGUAAAUCUUCAUCAUAUAAAAGGCAAUGAUUUUGCACAGAAACAUAAUAAAAAUUAAAAUGGCUGCAUAAUUAUAAAAAAGGGAAAAAAAUUUAUUCUGUCCUUAAGAGAUCUUACUGACAACAGUAACUUGCCCUAUAGACUCUUGGGAGGAACUGAAUCCACCAUAGGGAGGGAACUAUUUGCCAGAAUCUAACACUGCCUUGCAAGGUUUGAGCAACACCAGCUUGGCCAGUUUACUUUUGACCCGACAUUCAGUAGACUUAGAAAAUUUAAACAUUGCCCUUAUUUGCCUCAUUUUCCAAACCUUGGACCUGAAAAAAGCUGAAGUCCAUUUUCCUUCAAAAGAAUACUGAGACUAUGAUCCCAAUUAACAAAUUUUUCCAUACCAGGCUAAAACUGUCCUCUCUUUUAUCUUAACCUUUUUUAUAUUUUCUCAGUUUGUAAGAGGAUUGCACCAAGGCAGAGAGGUGUGACAUCCUGUAAUGACAGAGUUCAACUAUUUCAAUAGCUAAGAUUCAGUGUUGUUAAUUGUUGGGAAUUUUAACAAUUGGAAAAAUAGAUAAAAACUAAUAUUUAAAUAGUGCUUAUUUUUGUUUACCACGUAGAUAAUUCAGUAUUCCCCCCCCCAGUGUAUUAUUUUAAAACAUUUUUUAAGAAUUAAGAAAUUUAGUUUUAUUUUCAUAAAAAAAAUCCUUUUAAGCUGUGAACCUGAGUCUGCUUAAUCAUACUAGUAUUUAGUUCUUACUUUUUUGAUUAUAAUAGAAACAUUUUUGAUUAAAGCUAAAAGUAGACAGUUAUACAAAAUGGAAAGAAAGGGCACUGAAUUAAGGAAUAUGCUGAUUAUCUCAAAUUUAGAUUGAAUAGCCCCUUAAUCACGCUGGUUUUUAAUUCUUCCAGAUUUUAUUUUUACUUACAGUAGACAUCUUUUUGAUGAAAGGUUAAAAAAAGUUGUAUGAGUGAAAAUAAAGGAAUUGUAUUACAUAAUAUAAAAAUUACCUGAAAUUCAGAUUUAACUCAAUAAUGCUUGUCUUUGUCAGACUAUAUGUUUUAUUGGCAAGAAGUUUUCGAGUGAGUGAAGAAUGCCAAUCAAAUUAGUUCCCUUACCAUACAUUCAUUCUAAUGUAGAAAAUGUGAACAUAUUUAACAUUUUGGUGGGGAGGGUACAACAUUUUGAGGAGUAUUAUAAUUGUAUCAGUAAACUUCCCAAAGCUAGUGAGUUUAUUCAUCUAAUAGAUACAUUUGAAUGUUUCACAUAAUUGCAGGAACUUCUCAUUUCAUAAAAUUAUCUAGAAUGUCUGAGAUCAGUAUAGAAAACAGAAAAGAAUUCAGCUUUUGAAUAAUGCCAGUAGAAGAUCAUUGACAUAUUCAGAUGACAUACAGACAUCAUUCAUUCAGAAAAUUUAGUGAAGUGAAUCAAUGAAAAUUGUAUUAAUAGAAUUGCUGUAGUAUAAUAUUAAUAAAACAAGAUACAGAUAAACCAAUUUUGAUAGAAGACAACUUAAAAUAAAAAAAAAUUCAUUGCUAAGUAAUGAGCCUACAGACAUUAAUAACUAUCCUUAGUUGAUAUCACUGUUUAGAAUGUUUGGAAAUAAAUGUCAGGGUAAAUAUUAUACCUUGUAGAAAUAAGCAUCAAAAUAGAGUAUUAGAGAUGUAAUGAUCUGUGUGAGAAAUAAACAUUAACUAUAUAAUUUUGUGUAUGUGUAUAUAUUGUUGGGAUGCAGUAAUGAAAAGUAUAAAAUCACUUUCAUCCUUAUGGGAGGAAAUAGGAUCUCUAAUACUUCAUGGUAGAUGGGUGUUAAUUGUCCAAAAGUUUUUUUUUUAAAUGAAUUUUGGAGGUGAAAUAUAAAAGAACAAUUAAGAAAAUGAAAAGGAAAAAUGUAGUCUGGGAAAAAAAUUUUGCAAAACGUGUUUGAUAAGGGGCUGGCUUCCUAAAUAAUGCAAGAAAUUUAAACUCAAGUAUAAAAAAUCAAUACAGUCAAAAAAUGGACAAAAGAUAUUGAUAUCUCACAGAAAUCAGAUAGCAAAUAAGCAUAUAGAAAGAUGUUCAAGAUCAUAUGUCCAUAGUAAUUGCAAAUUAGAACAGUGAGAUACCAGUACACCUAUUAGAAUGAACAGAAUACAAAAUACUGACACCAAAUAUUGGUGAGGAUGUGGGGCAAUUAAUUCCUCUUAUUCCUUACAUAGGGAGAUGCAAACUAGGGCAAUGACUUUGAGAAACAGAGACAUUUUCUCAUAAAAUAAAACAUACUAUAUGAUCUAAUAUGUAAACUGCUGAUAUUAACCCAAAUGAUUUGAAAACUAAUGUUCACACAAAAACCUAAACACAAAUCCUUAUAGAAACUUAUUCAUCAUUAUUCAAACUUGGAACCCAACAAAGUAUCUUCAGUACGUGAAUGGAUUAAUAAACCAUUAUACAUUCAGUGCUUUAAGAAUGAACAUUUAGAAAAAAAAGAUAUUUAGGAAACUUAAAUGCACAUUACUAAGUGAAAGAGGCCCUACUGUAUAUCUACAACAAUAUGACAUUCUGGAAAGUCAGAACUAUGGAGACAUUAAAAAGAUCAGUGGUUGUAAGGGGCUUGAGAGGAGGGAAGGAGGUGAAGUCCAGGGGACUUCUAUGGUAUGAAAUAAUAACAAUUCUACAUGAUACAAUAAUGAUGAACACAUGUUACUAUACAUUUGUUGAUACCCAUAGACAUGUAGCAAAGAACAGUGAAGUCCAAAAUAUGGACUUUAGUUAAUAAUAAUGUACUAACAUUGGCUCAUUCAUUUUAAGAAAUGUGUCACACUAAUGCAAUAUAUUAAUAAUAGAGAACUACAGAGGUUGGGGGUUAAUGAGAGCGUAUAUAGGAACUCUGUACCUCUUACUUAUUUUUUUCUGUUGACAUAAAAUAGGUCCCACCUUCAAAAAAAGUUUUUUUAAGUCACACAUGAUCAUAAAAUAAACAACACACUUCUUUGGUAUGUGAUUCUUACUUUGCAGAUUUCUUGGAGAAUAGAUAUUGCUUUCAAAAAGUGGAUGCUAUAGAUGAAAUUUUUGAGCACCCCAUUGUCUUAUUUUGAAACAUGCUGAUAUGUCCCUUAUAUAGUCUCUCUUAAGCUCUUGUCAUAAACUGUUCUGGAGCUAGCAUAUUUUCAGAUGACAAUAGAAAAGUAGUACUUUGAAAGGAGACUUUGAGGAAGGACUUCCUAACAAUAUUUUCGGUUUAGAAAAAGAGUGUAAACGAUAAAGAUGCAUUGUAUAUAUUGCCUUACAUUUCAGUGCCUCUAGAACUUGUGCCUAUUUGUGCCGUUUUGCUCUUUGAUUUUGGAAGGCUGGUUAACUUUUAGUUUAGAUUGAACUUUCUCAAGAUAUCCAUGAAUUGCCUGCUUAAAUGCAUUGCUGCACCCUUAACCCAGAGAUUCUGAUACAUAGAUAUAAAGGUGGGGCUCAGAAAUUUCUCAUCCUUUUAAUUAAUUACAUAGAUGAUGCUUGAGAAUUGCAGGGUUAUAGGUUUAGCCCUUAGGGGAUUAAAAAAAAUAGCCAAUGUCUUGUUAUACUAUGAGUUUAUCUGGAAUUUCACAUUCUCAUUUGAAUUUUUGUUAACUUGAGUUUACCUGCACAGCAUAAAAACUGAUUCCUUUAGUAGGGAAGGUGGUUUAUUGUGUGAGAAGCCCAGAUAGACUACUUGUGCUUAUACAUUCUUUUCUAAACUAUCACUAAUUGACUACCUUUUAUGAAAACUAAAAUUACUCAUACUAAGGGUAAAUUCAUAUGUAUGAGAUAUAUCAUAUAAGAUUAUACAAUAAAGUAUUGAUUCAAAAGUUUCAGAUAAAUUUAAUUAGUCAAAUUUUAAAACUUUUAGAAUUCUGAAUCCUAAUUGUCUAAUUGAAUUGAACAUAAAAAUCUAUAAUGUGAUGGUAAGUUUUUUCUUUAAAAUAUAAAUAUUGUUGAUACCAGUUGAAAAUUGUUGUUACUCUUUAUUUUCUUCUGACUGCAUUUUUCAGCCACUGUACAGAUUAUCAUUCUCCUAACUUGUUAAAUAUUUAGUGAUUUUAUUUUUAUUUAACAUUGUUAAACCAAAAUAAUUAUACUAGCUAUGUUAAGACACAAUUUUGUUUUUUGUUACUUGUCUGGUCUAGAAGUGACAUCUUUAUUAAUUCUACGUUCUCCAUUCUAUGAAAAAGAAUAUUUUUCUUCCUUUCACUGAUUUGUUUUUGAUAAAUACAAUUAUAUCUUUAUCAGUAGUAAUUAGAUAUUUAAAAUACUUCAGGAUCAAAUAUUCUAUGGGAAUUAGAUACUCCUUUUUAAAAUUUUUAUCUUUUAUACUCAUAUUAAUUCUCAUUAUAUCUUAGUAAGUAUUCUAUUUUGUUUUCAGGUAGAUUUUUAAAAGUUGAAAAAUUUUCCAUCUUUUCCAGAUGUUUCAUGGAACAAUCACAAAAGAGCUAACCAGUCAUGAAGAAUGGAGUCACUAUAAUGAAAAUAUAAUCGAAGAUCAAAAAGAUUUUGUUUUUGUGAAGUUCAGUGGACUUUAUUUAAAAUCUAUGGAAUAUUUGCAAUCUUAUAUCUCUCUUAAAGUAUGCGUUUUCUCAAAUAAUUUUAUUACAGAUAUUCAUCCACUUCAAAAUUGUAUAAAAUUAAUGAAACUUGACCUUCAUGGAAAUCAGGUAAGCAAUAGUCAUUUAAGAUGUCUGAAUAUAAAUGAAAUUUAUAUGUAAUGAACUUAUGUUAUCUACCCACAAUAUUAUUUUCAGAUAAUCUGUUAUCUAAAUAUAUAUAUAUAUAUAUAUAUAUAUAUAUAUAUAAAUUGAAAAUAAAUUUCAAAAAUGUGUAUUAAUACAAAAUUAAAAGUACAAUAUUUUUAAAAAUAAAGCACAUAAACAAUGCAUGAUUUGGUAUAGUUUAUUUCUUAAAUUUAUAAUCCAGAUUAAGAGUACUUCUUGACUCCAAUUCUUUAUAGAAGAAAAGUAUUUUUGAAAAUUUAGAGUCAGCUUUUACCAAGUAAUUUUCAUUGAAUCAAAUAUAUAUGGUUAUGCAUUUAAUUAUAACAAUAACAAUAGUUUAUUACAAAUACUCAGUGUAUUAUGUUGUUUUCCCAGAAAUCAUUUAGAUACUUGGAAAUAUUUAUCUUAUUAUUAAUUAGAAACUUGCAAGAUAGUUAAUUUUAGAAGAUGUUUAAUAUUUUGGUAUUUUUCCAUGUUAUGUUUAGAAAAGUAGUAUUUGAGCUAAAUUUACUCAUGAUAAUAUUUCAGAUCAAGAAUCUACCAGAUACGAAAUUUUGGAGUGGAUUAAAGUACCUAAAACUCCUCUAUCUUCA
rnacentral:lncRNA from 1 species